rnacentral:lncRNA from 1 species
UCACCAAUACAAAAAUGUUGACAUCACUCUCUCUAUAAAUACCAAAUCCAACCUACAAAUUGUUCUAAGAAACAUAGAUAUUCAUAAGCUUUUUCUCUUCCAUUCUCUCUCUUGGAUCGUUUCCAUGGCUGGGCUGCAACAAUACAACUUCUUCCCCACUGAUCUCUUGUACCCUCGUCCACAACCACAACAAGCUUCUCCUAAACCCACUGUUCUUCCUCUCCAGAACCCUAAUUCUCAGGAUCACACUCACCAACAACAACAACAACCUAGGACCAAUCUUACCCCUUCUUCUUCUUCUGCUCUUGUUUACACUCAAAACAACCAAUCUCUUGUUGCUGUUCACAACAACGUCUCCAAAUUCGCCUCAGACCCUCUUUCUUGGCUGCUUUGGAUGACUGAAGAAGAUCAACAACAAAAUGCCUCAGACUCUUCUUGAAUUCUUCUACAAUUCACUCAAUUCCACUCAUUGAUGUAUCGCACCAUAUCAUUCCACUCAUUGAUGUAUCUUAUUUCAGUGAGAUCAACCGAUGAAUCAUGCUGCAUCUUUUUCCACUCAGUUUAAGGAAAAGAGGAAGGAAACUGAAUAAUAAUCUUUUCAUGUCUUUGUUAGUAAACUGUAAAAUCAUCAUUGAUGGACUAAUCCCUCUUUUCUGUAAUGCUUUUAGCUUUUACCCUUUGAUCAAUUCUAUGUUCCAGAGAAUAUUUGAGUCGGUUUACACAUAUAGAAGUUUAUCAAGCUUAUGAAAAUCAAUAAAAGUUUAUCAAGCUUCUUUUAUAUAUGUCAACACUCCUUUACCGAAUUCGAGGAAUUUAUUAUAGAAUUGGAGGACUCGAUUAUAUAUGCUGCAUUACAAUUACAUGUUUGUUUUCUUAGACCAAAGGAAAAGGAAACAUGAAUCUAGAAAAUUGGCGAUGAAUGUGUCAAAGUUUGUUAGUCAACAUGCUACAUAUGUGGAAUUAAGUUUAAUAGUGUAACAGUCAAUGUUGGUUUUCUUUGGCCAUCUCUUCUGAAAAUGUGCAUCAAAUCAAAUCAUAUGUUCAAAUUCAACAUUUGCAACCUUUAGAAGAGGAAAAAAAAUAAAACAAAAAAUUAAAGAUGUGAGAACAUGCCGAAACUCACGGGGCGUACAAUAGACGCAGACGGUUACUUCCGGAACAUCAUGCGAAUAUGCCACGAAUAUGCCGC